rnacentral:rRNA from 1 species
UUAAGAAUCUUGCGCAAUGGGGGCAACCCUGACGCAGCGACGCCGCGUGGAUGAUGAAGGCCUUCGGGUUGUAAAGUCCGGUAAGCAGGGAAGAAUAAGCAACGGGAAAUAUUCGUUGUGAUGACGGUACCUGCCUAAAGCCCCGGCUAACUACGUGCCAGCAGCCGCGGUAAUACGUAUGGGGCGAGCGUUGUUCGGAAUUAUUGGGCGUAAAGGGCGUCUAGGCGGGGGAUUAAGUUAGAUGUGAAAGCUAUGGGCUCAACCCAUAAAUUGCAUCUAAGACUGGUUCUCUUGAGUUCGGGAGAGGAGAGCGGAAUUCCAGGUGUAGCGGUGAAAUGCGUAGAUAUCUGGAAGAACACCAGUGGCGAAGGCGGCUCUCUGGCCUAGGACUGACGCUGAAGCGCGAAAGCGUGGGGAGCGAACA